rnacentral:rRNA from 1 species
AGAAAAUAGAUACCCCGGUAGUCCCAGCCGUAAACGAUGCUCGCUAGGUGUCAGGCAUGGCGCGACCGUGUCUGGUGCCGCAGGGAAGCCGUGAAGCGAGCCACCUGGGAAGUACGGCCGCAAGGCUGAAACUUAAAGGAAUUGGCGGGGGAGCACAACAACGGGUGGAGCCUGCGGUUUAAUUGGACUCAACGCCGGACAACUCACCGGGGGCGACAGCAAUAUGUAGGCCAGGCUGAAGACCUUGCCUGAAUCGCUGAGAGGAGGUGCAUGGCCGUCGCCAGUUCGUACUGUGAAGCAUCCUGUUAAGUCAGGCAACGAGCGAGACCCGUGCCCACUGUUACCAGCAUGUCCUCCGGGACGAUGGGUACUCUGUGGGGACCGCCGAUGUUAAAUCGGAGGAAGGUGCGGGCCACGGUAGGUCAGUAUGCCCCGAAUCUCCCGGGCUACACGCGGGCUACAAUGGAUGGGACAAUGGGUCCUCCCCUGAAAAGGGCUGGUAAUCUCACAAACCCAUUCGUAGUUCGGAUCGA